AAAAAAGAGCGGGGGAAUUAUUGGUUGUCGAUACCUGAACGGGGUGGUUCCGAUCAUGGACGAUGCCUUGCAAGCCCUAACAGAGCUUUCUAAUCUCAGUCGCCACCCGUUAAACGGCGGCGAAUUCAACGGCUUAAAUGACGUCGACGGCGAAGAAGAGGAAGAGUAUGACACCGAGGCUUGGGAAACGAUCACAAAGUGUUUCCGGGAGGUACAGUCGGUUCUGGAUCAGAACCGAGCUCUGAUUCAACAGGUGAACGAAAAUCAUCAAUCGAAGCUUCGAGAUAAUCUGGUGAAGAACGUCGCUCUUAUUCGAGAUAUAAAUAGUAAUAUCUCCAAAGUUUCUCGCCUGUACUCUGAUCUCUCCGUAGAUUUCUGCAACAUCGUUAAUCGGCGACGGGAACUUGCUUUGUUUGAAUCUAAAAAUCGCGAUGAUAAUGUGGACAGCGCCGAAUCCUGAGUCAACUCGUUUGGUGAAUCCAAAUCUAGAAUGAUUCGUUGAUUGAUUGCUGAUUUGCGAGGCUGCUUUUGUCUGCAUUCACUGAUGUCCCGCGAACGUGAUUGUGUUUGAGGUAUUUAUGUCAUGUUGAUUGAUUGCUGAUUUGCGAGGCUGCUUUUGUCUGCAUUCACUGAUGUCCCGCGAACGUGAUUGUGUUUGAGGUAUUUAUGUCAU
rnacentral:misc_RNA from 1 species